rnacentral:misc_RNA from 1 species
AACUUCUGGCAACGGAUCACUUGGCUCUCGCAGCGAUGAAGAACGCACCGAAAUGCGAUAAGUAAUGUGAAUUGCAGAAUUCAGUGAAUCAUCGAAUCUUUGAACGCACCUUGCGCCCUUUGGCUAUUCCGAAGGGCAUGCCUGUUUGAGUAUCAUGAACACCUCAACUCUCAUGGUUUGCCAUGAUGAGCUUGGACUUUGGGGGUCUUGCUGGUCUAGGGUCAGCUCCUCUCAAAUGGAUCAGCUUGCCAGUGUUUGGUGGCAUCGCAGGUGUGAUAACUAUCUACGCUUGUGGUUUCCUACCAGAUAACCUUCAGCAAUGGAGGUUCGCUGGAGCUCAUAAAUGUCUCUCCUCAGUGAAGACAGCUUUUUGAACGUUUGAUCUCAAAUCAGGUAGGACUACCCGCUGAACUUAAGCAUAUCAAUAAGCGGAGGCU